AGCUCUGCUCCAUGCCUUUUUCAUUCUGGAGCCUAGGCCUGAGGAGCAGGCCAUACCUGGGAUGGGUCUGCUUUGUGUCAGAAGGAGAAGAGUAAUGCAGAACUCCUGGAAAGCUUCGGCUUGGAGUUGAAAAGCAUCAAGUACACUAGCGAUUGUAUCUAACAAAUGAAGAAACUGAGGCCCAAAGGGAACCAACUGAACUAGCCCCAAGUCAUAUGGGACCUUCCAGCUUGAAUUGUUGCAGAACUCAGGAAGGGAGACUCAAUUCAUCUGCCCCAGGGGCUCAGCCAAGAGGAGAUGCCAAGGACACUCUUGGGAGCCUGUCUCCACUCACCUGAAAGUGAAUUCCAACCUCAGCUCAGGAUUUCUUCUGUGUCCUCCAUCCACUCCAGUGACCUUGCCUGUCAGCUGCAAGAGAACAUGCCCGAGGCCCAAGAGCAGCAGCUGAUGAAGCUGGAAAGGCUGCGCUGGUCCCCGCUCGUCCAGUCUCCUUGCUCCGAGGCAUUUGUUCUAGGAUGUCAGGGUGAUCCACCCCGCCUCCCGUCCUGGGCACCUGGGGCAUGGGCUCCUGAGUCCCUGACACCUGGACAUUGUUCCCAGGCGAUCCGCGGCGGUGAUGGAAUUCCGCAGAAGUGAAAAAUGAAACCUUUAGUCCAAAGGAGGAGAGAGAGUUCCAUCUUUAACGUUUCUUCUUUAAAUCUGAGGUCUAUGAGACCUUUAGAAGCUCAGAAUUAUGGGGAAGAACUGCAUCCUUCAUCUUGCCGCUAAGCCCCACCAGAAUGAAGCGGUGGGUCUGCUUUUGCCCAGAGCCACUGGUUUG